UACGAAGGGGGCUAGCGUUGCUCGGAAUGACGUGGGCGUAAAGGGCGCGUAGGCGGUGCAUUUGGUCGAGGCGUGAAAUUCCUGGGCUUAACCUGGGGACUGCGCUUGAGACGGGAUGUGCUGGAGGGCAGGAGAGGCUCGCGGAAUUCCCAGUGUAGAGGUGAAAUUCGUAGAUAUUGGGAAGAACACCGGUGGCGAAGGCGGCGAAGCUGGCCUGUACCUGACGCUGAGGCGCGACAGCGUGGGGAGCAAACAGG
rnacentral:rRNA from 1 species